AAUAAGUGUAGUUUUAUAUUGUUCAUAUCCGACGAUUGUUCGUCUUAUUUGAAAUUUUGUUAUGAUCAGUAUUUUUAUUGUUAUUAGAUGAUAAAACAUGUACUUUAUGCGUGACUAUUUUUUUAUUUUUUUCAUAAUUUUUUAAAUAAGAUGGACGGUCAAACGUUGGACGCGGAUACCCACAGCUGCACUUAUU
rfam:Oryza punctata chromosome 1, whole genome shotgun sequence.